rnacentral:sRNA from 1 species
GCCGGGCGUGGUGGCGCGUGCCUGUAAUCCCAGCUACUUGGGAGGCUGAGGCGGGAGAAUUGCUUGAACCCAGGAGGUGGAGGUUGUGGUGAGCCACGAUAGCGCCAUUGCACUCCAGCCUGGGUAACAAGAGCGACACUCCGUCUCAA